rnacentral:rRNA from 1 species
ACGAACUCUGGCGGCGUGCUUCACACAUGCCAGUCGCACGGAAAGGCCCUGCUUUUGUGGGGUGCUCGAGUGGCGAACGGGUGAGUAACACGUGAGUAACCUGCCCUUGACUUUGGGAUAACUUCAGGAAACUGGGGCUAAUACCGGAUAGGAGCUCCUGCUGCAUGGUGGGGGUUGGAAAGUUUCGGCGGUUGGGGAUGGACUCGCGGCUUAUCAGCUUGUUGGUGGGGUAGUGGCUUACCAAGGCUUUGACGGGUAGCCGGCCUGAGAGGGUGACCGGCCACAUUGGGACUGAGAUACGGCCCAGGCUCCUACGGGAGGCAGCAGUGGGGAAUAUUGCACAAUGGGCGGAAGCCUGAUGCAGCAACGCCGCGUGCGGGAUGACGGCCUUCGGGUUGUAAACCGCUUUCGCCUGUGACGAAGCGUGAGUGACGGUAAUGGGUAAAGAAGCACCGGCUAACUACGUG